CCUACGGGAGGCAGCAGUGGGGAAUAUUGGACAAUGGGCGCAAGCCUGAUCCAGCAAUACCGCGUGGGUGAUGAAGGUCUUCGGAUUGUAAAGCCCUUUUAGUAGAGAAGAUAAUGACGGUAUCUACAGAAAAAGCACCGGCAAACUUCGUGCCAGCAGCCGCGGUAAUACGAAGGGUGCUAGCGUUGUUCGGAAUCACUGGGCGUAAAGGGUACGUAGGCGGUUUGGUAAGUCGAUUGUGAAAGCCCCAGGCUCAACCUGGGAACUGCAAUCGAAACUACUUUACUUGAGUUUGGUAGGGGAUGGUGGAAUUCCUAGUGUAGGGGUGAAAUCCGUAGAGAUUAGGAAGAACACCAGUGGCGAAGGCGACCAUCUAUGCCAAUACUGACGCUGAGGUACGAAAGCGUGGGGAGCAAACAGGAUUAGAUACCCUGGUAGUCCACGCCCUAAACGAUGAAUGCUAGUUGUCGGGGCCUUAGGCUUCGGCGGCGAAGUUAACACGAUAAGCAUUCCGCCUGGGGAGUACGGUCGCAAGACUAAAACUUAAAGGAAUUGACGGCUGAGANGCGACGACGACACGAGGAGAG
rnacentral:rRNA from 1 species